rnacentral:lncRNA from 1 species
AGAAACGCCCUCACAGACACCCCGGAAGUCACGUACCCACUCUGUAGGUGCCCCGGGGCACAGGCAAGCGGACGAGCCAGUUAUCCCUCAGAGCUCCUGCUGCCUCGCCCGCUUUCUCUCGGAAACGUGAAGUGUGGCCUCAGCUGAAAGUGAGGUGGGCCUCAUUCAAUCAGUUGAAUUCUUCAAGAGAGAAAAACUGAAGUCCCUUAGAAGGAAAGAGUUCUGCCUUCAGACUGUCUUUGAACUUAAGACUGUAGCGUCGACUCCUGCCGGAAUUUCCAGCCUGCUGGCCAGCUCUGCAGAUUCACACUUGCCAGCCUCCACAAUCGCAGCUGAGGCGGAGGAACCCUAAGGGCUCAUUGAGAUCAUGGAUUUGCCCUUCUAUGCAUUGAUGGAGCACCUGCUGCCCACAGCGUCUGUAUUUGGUGCUGGGAUGCUGAGGACACUGAGAUCUUCAAACAGAGGCUGCCACUCUAAGCAAACAGAUCCCGAGCCCUGGACUCUGAAGCUUGGGCCCAGUUCUCCUUUUCUCCGGGUUUCAGAUCCCACUGUGAAGUGAGGGGGCCCUUCUGAUUCAGGACCCGGGGAAGCCAGGGGCAUGAGCAUCGGUGCCUCUUCUCUAUUUCAAGGACCCUUCUGGGUGUAAAGUUCUCUGAGAUGCCUUACAUGGAUUCCCACCACUGCAAGAUAACCAUCGUAUGUAAAGUGUUAUGACCAGCAGAGCGUAAUUGAAGUGCAUUCCAGAGGGAAAGACAGCGGCUCAGUCUCCAGAAUAAAAUAAAUUUGACACGACACAUGAAGAAGAAAUAAGAAAAGGAGACCCACGGUUAUGAGGAAAAAUGGCCAUGAAAUGUCUAGAGAGGGCCUGGAUGGUGGCAUCAUCUAAUAAAUAAGGCCCUUUAAUAUGCCUAUGGCAGCUAUGUUAAAGGACCUCGUAGAGAGGUAGAAACAAGCUGGAAAUUUCACCAGAUAGAUGGAAACUAUAGAAACAUCCAAAUGGAAAUGACAGAAAUGAAAACUGAGAUCCAGAAUGAAGAUUAAUUAAAUGGGGUCACCAGCAGAUUGAGCACAGCUGGACAUUGCCUGGUGUGGCCCCAGGCCAUUCUUCACUUGUCAAUUCUCCUUGGACUCCUGGGAUGGUUGGAGCGUGUCCCGUACAUGGCAAAUGGAUAAGCAACAGAGGACAAUGGACAACGCUUGCUGUCUGAUAUUGUCUGGCCCCAUGUCCCUACCCAAAUCUCAUCUCGAAUUGUAAUCCUCAUAAUUCCCACGUGUCGAGGGAGGGACCGGGUAGGAGGUGAUUUGAUCAUGGGGCUGGUUUUCUGCAUGCUGUUCUCGUGAUAGUGAGUGAGUUCUCAUGAGAUCAGUUGGCUUUAUGUUUGAAGUUACUCCUUCACAUGCCCUUCUCUCUCCUGCUGCCUUGUGAAGAAGGUGCUUGCUUCCCCUUCGUCUUCUGCCAUGAUUGUAAGUUUCCUGAGGCCUCCCUAGCCAUGUGAAACUGUGAGUCAAUUAAACCUCUUUCCUUUAUAAA